CUACGUUGGCAUACGGUUGUUUUCAUAUGAACUGAAGUGACUGUUUUUAUACGAAGUGCAGAGAAAUGCUUAAAGCUGUUUUUGGACCAAUAUAUUUUAUAUAACGGCUUUGUGACUAACAACCAAACGAAAGGAGGCCGAUUCACCAACCUGACGCCGCCUGAGCGUGGUCGUCCUGCUCCAAACACCUCCCCUCCUCUCCGUGCUCCGCUCCUGGUGCGCGAGCAAUUACAGCAACGUCGUAACGCGAAAAUCGAUUUCGGCUGCGGGCGCAGGCUGAAGCAUCACAAAAAGCAUGACCCACUGCGAUGUGGACACGGGAAUAGGUAUGACAUCGCCCGGCCAAAUGACGGACGCAGCCGCUCACAAGGUGCACACAUCCUGGCCGCAGAGACUCGAGCGGAACAGCAUGCUCGUCCUGGCCGGAGUCGCCCUGUGCGCCCUCGCCAUCACAGGCUGCGACGCCACGGACACGGACAUCGCGCUGGACGCCAAGGCCACGCUGAAUCACCGCAUCCAGAGCCUGGACCUGCUCGUCUUCGUGUUCCUGCUGGCCCUCACCGUCCUCACCAUCUGGCUGUUCAAGCACCAUCGCGUCUCCUGGCUCCACGAGACCGGACUGGCAGUCAUCUAUGGCUUGAUUGUAGGAGCAAUUAUACGUUAUGCGGGCACCUCGACCACCCUUGUCCACAUGCAGGUGGAGCCGCAAGGGGUUCCCACGUACAGCGAUAAGUUGCCGCCCGAUACCCUCUGGUUUAAGUACCCCGUCAAUCAAACGAAUGGAACCAAGCUGCCAGAGGGCAAUAAGACAUAUGCCUAUGUUUUUCGCGGUCAGGUUCACGAUGUCGAUGAAAACGAAAUCGAUCUAAAGGCAACGUUUGAUCCGGAGGUGUUCUUCAACAUCAUCCUGCCACCAAUCAUAUUUUACGCGGGUUACAGCUUGAAAAAGAAAUAUUUCUUCCGAAAUCUAGGGGCCAUUCUCACUUUUGCCAUUGUUGGCACCACAUUGUCGGCCUUCCUGAUCGGGGGCUUCAUGUACAGCUGUGUGAAACUGAUGCCAAACUACUUGAGCAGCAGUUUAUCAUUUCUGGACACUCUUUACUUUGGAGCCCUUAUAUCACCCACAGAUCCGCUCACCAUUCUAGCCAUAUUCAAUGACCUGCGGGUCGAUGUAAACCUAUAUGCGCUUGUCUUGGGCGAAUCUGUGCUCAACGAUGCCGUGGCCAUUGUCCUUAGCGGAGCCAUUCAAAACUAUGGUGAACAUUAUUCCAAUACAGGGGAAUUCGAAACUACAGCUUUUCUGCGCUCUCUAAGUGACUUCUUUUCCAUUUUCCUCCUGUCCCUGAUGAUUGGUGCCGCCAUGGGCUGCUUGACAGCAUUGAUGACCAAGUUUACGCGGGUGCGAGACUUUCCCCUUUUAGAGUCGGCACUCUUCGUGUUGAUGAGCUACAGCACUUUCUUGCUGGCGGAGGCUACAGAGCUGACUGGAGUGGUGGCCGUGCUCUUUUGCGGCAUCUGCCAGGCCCACUACACAUACAACAACCUCUCGGAGGAUUCGCGGCAAAGGACCAAACAGAUCUUCGAGCUGCUCAACUUUCUGGCCGAGAACUUUAUCUUCUCCUAUAUUGGAGUUUCGAUGUUUACCUUUCCCAAGCAUCAUUUCGACGCAGGAUUUAUCAUAACAGCAUUCAUUUGCGCCGCUAUAGGACGCGCUGUAAAUGUGUACCCCCUGUCGUGGUUACUAAACAUCAAGCGAAAGCCCAAAAUUUCAGUAAACUUUCAACACAUGCUGUUCUUUGCAGGACUACGUGGCGCCAUGUCCUUUGCGUUGGCCAUUCGCAAUACCGUGUCGGAUGCUCGGCAAACCAUGCUGACCGCCACAUCGCUGAUUGUCAUCUUUACGGUUGUAAUCCAGGGUGGAGCGGCUAAUUUUCUGCUCAAUUGGUUAAAAAUACCUGUUGGCGUUGACGAUGAGACUGAACAAUUAAAUAAUUACCAGGUGCACAGUUCUGAUGGCUACUUGCAGGAUGUGGAGGGCGGCGGAGUAGUGCGCGGCAAAAUGCGGUUGUCUGGUGGAACGGAGUCCAACCUGGACACACCAGCGGACGGGCCAAAUGGCAGCUUGGGCGGCUCAAGCGGAGGACGCCGUCGCAACAGUCAUGAGAAGGCCAUUCUGGCCAGGAUCUGGGGCAGCUUUGAUACCAAGUACAUGAAGCCUUUGCUGACGCACUCUCGACCCACUCUGCUGGAGACGCUGCCCGUUUGCUGCAAUCCCAUUGCCAGGCUGCUCACCACCACGCAGCAACUGACCCAGGAUGGGAGCGAGUUCAGGCGCGUGGACUCGGACUCGGAUAUCUGCAUAGACAACGAUACCGGGAACGGUCUCGGCCAAGACGUCGGACCCGAAUCGGGAACGGGCGUGGGGCGGCGAAACUCACUCAGUCGCGUAAGUAUCAAGUACACCGGCGAUAAUCACCAUCUACUUGCUAGCUACCGCAACAUUGAAUAACCGAAUGUGCGAGGCAACCACCAAAGACUUAUCUAGGCCUAGUAAGCUGGCCACUAACACACGAAACGAAAGACCUCAACCCAACUAAAUACUGAAAGAAUACUUUGGCAAAGUAGACACACUGUUCUUGAAAUUAGACAACUAUUUAACAACCAUGGAAAUGUGAUUUUUGUUUAACAAUGAUUUGUUUUUGUAUAAUUUAAAUGUUGAUUUUGUGGUGUAAGAGGAGAGGAAUGUAUAAUUUUGCACCUACUUUUAAUAUUGUUGAUUAAUUGUUUAAGUUUGAGCGGCAAACGAUGCCAAGUCGACGAUUGAAACACUAAUGUAAUAUUGAUUUGACUGUUAACUACUAUUUAAUGCAUGCUUACCAAAUAUACUUACAUAUAUAACUGAAAUGUAACCACUCUAUCAGCGAUGAUAUUAAUUUAUUUAUUCAUUUCUGCGGCAUCUUUCUUUCUUUCUGUCUUUCCUUCGACCAAUCCAUCAUCUAACUAACCCAUGCGGACUCCAUUAUCAAUUUAUCAAUUUGGUUGCUUUAACAAUAACAACAAAAACUCCAAUAACCAACGAAAAACUGCAUUCAUCUGAAACAAACUGUGUCAUGUUUAAAUUCAUUCAUUGGUAAUGCCCGAAUCAAAAGUCUGUCCAAUUGAACGAAGCCAAUCACCUUGCAAAUGAACUCAGCCUGGUUACUAAUAAUUUCAUGUAAUCAUAUCUAUGGAAAAUCAAGAGAUCAAGCCAGUGCCAGCCAGUCUCUUAUAUGUUUCGUUUAUUUACUAUUUAAUAUAUAUUUUAUUCGUUUGUUUUUGUCUACUUUUCCUUGGUAAUCCAAAUGUUGUAAACGAAGCACAGACGGAAACCCAGACAUGAAAAACUAAGUCCAGAGUCAGUCAAUGCAGUCAGUUUAUUGAUUAACCGACUAACAAAAGCUUCUUAUAGCACAGCAGCUAAGAUUGUUCGUUUGUACUGUUCACUUUUAAUUUCUGUACUUUUCCUCAUAAUCUAAUUUAAUAGAUUCUAACACGCGACUAACCAUGUUAGAGGAGAGCGUCGAAAUAUUAACAUUUAAGUUACAUUCGCUUUUAAUUUUGUUUUGUUAUUUAUUUAAUUGGUCUCAUUUAAAAUGGAUUAUGUGAAAACUGUACAAAUUAGAUUAUUACAUCUCAGUUUCUCCUUGUUUACGAUAUGUGAUUCGGAACUCUAGUUAUAAAUAUAAAUUAAUAUCAGGCUUAUCAGUUAAUUUACAAAUUGUUGUGCAACGUAAUAAAAUCGUUAAGGGCACCAACUAAAAAGGCUAUAUAUCAUUGAGCUGACACACACCAAUACAAUACCUUAAAACACGACAAAAUACCUGCAUAUAUGUCCUGUUUAAAUAUUUUAUUUUCAACCUUUAGCCAUUUAUUUAUUUUUGCCAAAAUAUAUAAAUAUAAUAUAUACAUUAUUUGUAAUUGAAUAGACUAGUGAAAAUUAAUAUGAAUACUUAUAAAGACAUA